GCCUGGGUGGCUCAGUCGGUUGAGCGUCCGACUUCAGCUCAGGUCAUGAUCUCAUGGUUUGUGGGUUCAAGCCCUGUGUCGGGCU
rnacentral:tRNA from 1 species